rnacentral:rRNA from 1 species
AUUGUGUUAGCAGCCGCGCGGUAAUACGUAGGAUGCAAGCGUUAUCCGGAAUCACUGGGCGUAAAGAGUCGUGUAGGCGGUUUACCGCAUCGUGCUUGAAAGCCCGAGGCUUAACCUCGGCGUUGGGCACGAGAUGGGUAGACUUGAGGGUAUGAGAGGGAAGGGGAACUCAUGGUGAAGCAGUGAAAUGCGUUGAUAUCAUGAGGAACACCGAAGGCGAAGGCACCUUCCUGGAAUAUUUCUGACGCUGAGACACGAAAGCUAGGGGAGCGAAGCAGAUUAGAGACCUGCGUAGUCCUAGCCCUAAACGCAUGCCUGCUAGAUGCCGGCUUUGUAAAGAUGAUGAGCGAUCGUCAUUUUUAUGAAGUCGGUGUCGUAAGCUAACGCGUUAAGCAGGCCGCCUGGGGAGUACGAUCGCAAGAUUAAAACUCAAAGGAAUUGACGGGGACCCGCACAACCAGUGGAGCGUGUGGUUCAAUUCGAGACAAAGCGAAGAACCUCACCAGGUCUUGACAUGUUACCGUUUUAACCAGCUAGAAACAGCAGGCUAUCCGCAAGGAUGGUAGCACAGCUGCUGCAUGGCUGUCGUCAGCUCGUGCCGUGAGGUGUUCUCUUAAGUGAGACAACGAGCGCAACCCCCAUCCGGUGUUACAAGUGUCAUCGGAGACGGUCUUGGUUUAUUCCAGGAAGGAAGGAGGGGAUGACGUCAAGUCAGCACGGCGCUUAUGACCUGGUCACACACACCCUACAAUGGCGAAUAACAAUGGGAUGCAAGUCGGCAACGGCAAGCAAAUCCCCAGUAAAUUUCGCCUCAGUUCAGAUUGGGGUCUGCAACCCGACCCCAUGAAGUCGGAUUGGUAGUAAUCGCAGAUCAGCAGCUGCGGUGAAUACGUUCUCGGGUCUGCACACACCGCCCGUCAAAUCGUCGACCUGCAGCAUGCAAGCUUGCACUGGCGUCGAUUUACAACGUGCUGAACUGGAAACCUGCGUUACCACCAUUUAUUCCCCUUGCAGGCAAAUCCCCCAUUCUCAGCUGGCGUAUAUAGCAGAAGACCGCCCCGAAUAGGCCUCCUCAAAUUGCGCACCGAGAGGCGCAGUAGCGCCGCAGCCGGUAAUAUUUUCUAUCC